AUUAAGUUUGUAGGCUUCUUAAAACUAUAGUUGGAGAAGGAGAAGAAGAAACACUAUUUGAAGAGAUGUCCUGUGAAAUAAAUGUUGCAGAAGAAACUAAAAUCCUAGGGUUGGAAAUUGGAAAGGAGGACACCAACAUAAACCAUGUCAAGAGAAAGGAUCCAACAAAAGCUUAUAAAAGUAUAGUAAGAGAGGGAGGAUAUGUAGGCAUACAAGAUCAGGGUAAAGGU